rnacentral:rRNA from 1 species
GAUGAACGCUGGCGGCGUGCCUAAUACAUGCAAGUCGAGCGAACGGACGAGAAGCUUGCUUCUCUGAUGUUAGCGGCGGACGGGUGAGUAACACGUGGAUAACCUACCUAUAAGACUGGGAUAACUUCGGGAAACCGGAGCUAAUACCGGAUGAUAUUUUGAACCGCAUGGUUCAAAAGUGAAAGACGGUCUUGCUGUCACUUAUAGAUGGAUCCGCGCUGCAUUAGCUAGUUGGUAAGGUAACGGCUUACCAAGGCAACGAUGCAUAGCCGACCUGAGAGAGUGAUCGGCCACACUGGAACGGAGACACGGUCAAGACUCCUAAGGGAGGCAGCAGUAGGGAAUCUGAGGCAAUGGGCGAAAGCCUGACGGAGCAACGCCGCGUGAGUGAUGAAGGUCUUCGGAUCGUAAAACUCUGUUAUUAGGGAAGAACAUAUGUGUAAGUAACUGUGCACAUCUUGACGGUACCUAAUCAGAAAGCCACGGCUAACUACGUG